AGCAGCCGCGGUAAUUCCAGCUCCAAUAGCGUAUAUUAAAGUUGUUGCAGUUAAAAAGCUCGUAGUUGAAUUUCGGGGUUAGUAGGUUGGUCAUGCCUCUGGUAUGUACUGGUCUCACUGAUUCCUCCUUCCUGAUGAGCCGUAAUGCCAUUAAUUUGGUGUUGCGGGGAAUUUGGACUGUUACUUUGAAAAAAUUAGAGUGUUUAAAGCAAGCUAACGCUUGAAUACAUUAGCAUGGAAUAAUGAAAUAGGACGUUCGAUCCUAUUUUGUUGGUUUCUAGGAUUGACGUAAUGAUUAAUAGGGAUAGUUGGGGGCAUCAGUAUUCAAUUGUCAGAGGUGAAAUUCUUGGAUUUAUUGAAGACUAACUACUGCGAAAGCAUUUGCCAAGGAUGUUUUCAUUAAUCAAGAACGAAAGUUAGGGGAUCGAAGACGAUCAGAUACCGUCGUAGUCUUAACCAUAAACUAUGCCGACUAGGGAUCGGAUGAUGUUAAUUUUUUAAUGACUC
rnacentral:rRNA from 1 species